AGCACCUACGGGUGUGAAGUCAUUGAUGCCAUGCUUCCAGGAAAAGCCUCUAAGCUUCAGAUUGUAAGGAAUCGUACCCCAAACCGACACAGGUGGUCGGGUAGAGAAUACCAAGGCGCUUGAGAGAACUCGGGUGAAGGAACUAGGCAAAAUGGUACCGUAACUUCGGGAGAAGGUACGCUCUUGAUGGUGAAGUCCCUCGCGGAUGGAGCUGACGAGAGUCGCAGAUACCAGGUGGCUGCAACUGUUUAUUAAAAACACAGCACUGUGCAAAAUCGUAAGAUGACGUAUACGGUGUGACGCCUGCCCGGUGCCGGAAGGUUAAUUGAUGGGGUUAGACUUCGGUCGAAGCUCUUGAUCGAAGCCCCGGUAAACGGCGGCCGUAACUAUAACGGUCCUAAGGUAGCGAAAUUCCUUGUCGGGUAAGUUCCGACCUGCACGAAUGGCGUAAUGAUGGCCACGCUGUCUCCACCCGAGACUCAGUGAAAUUGAAAUCGCUGUGAAGAUGCAGUGUACCCGCGGCUAGACGGAAAGACCCCGUGAACCUUUACUACAGCUUGGCACUGAACAUUGACCCUACAUGUGUAGGAUAGGUGGGAGGCUUUGAAGCACGUACGCCAGUAUGUGUGGAGCCGUCCUUGAAAUACCACCCUUGUAGUGUUGAUGUUCUAACGUCGACCCCUUAUCGGGGUUGCGGACAGUGCCUGGUGGGUAGUUUGACUGGGGCGGUCUCCUCCCAAAGAGUAACGGAGGAGCACGAAGGUGGGCUAAUCACGGUUGGACAUCGUGAGGUUAGUGCAAUGGCAUAAGCCCGCUUGACUGCGAGAAUGACAAUUCGAGCAGGUGCGAAAGCAGGUCAUAGUGAUCCGGUGGUUCUGAAUGGAAGGGCCAUCGCUCAACGGAUAAAAGGUACUCCGGGGAUAACAGGCUGAUACCGCCCAAGAGUUCAUAUCGACGGCGGUGUUUGGCACCUCGAUGUCGGCUCAUCACAUCCUGGGGCUGAAGUCGGUCCCAAGGGUAUGGCUGUUCGCCAUUUAAAGUGGUACGCGAGCUGGGUUUAGAACGUCGUGAGACAGUUCGGUCCCUAUCUGCCGUGGGCGUUGGAAGAUUGAAGGGGGCUGCUCCUAGUACGAGAGGACCGGAGUGGACGAACCUCUGGUGUUCGGGUUGUGUCGCCAGACGCAUUGCCCGGUAGCUAAGUUCGGAAUCGAUAACCGCUGAAAGCAUCUAAGCGGGAAGCGAGCCCUGAGAUGAGUCUUCCCUGAUACUUUAAGUAUCCUAAAGGGUUGUCGGAGACUACGACGUUGAUAGGUCAGGUGUGUAAGUGCUGUGAGGCAUUGAGCUAACUGAUACUAAUUGCCCGUGAGGCUUAACCAU
rnacentral:rRNA from 1 species